UGAGUAAUGCAUAGGAAUCUACCUAGUAGUAUGGGAUAGCCACUAGAAAUGGUGGGUAAUACUGUAUAAUCCCUGCGGGGGAAAGAUUUAUCGCUAUUAGAUGAGCCUAUGUUAGAUUAGCUAGUUGGUAGGGUAAAGGCCUACCAAGGCGAUGAUCUAUAGCUGGUCUGAGAGGAUGAUCAGCCACACUGGAACUGAGAUACGGUCCAGACUCCUACGGGAGGCAGCAGUGGGGAAUAUUGGACAAUGGGCGCA
rnacentral:rRNA from 1 species